GCCAGUUGAGAACAAGUUCUCAUUUACAACUGCGACCUGGGGCCUGUUGCACAAAAGUAGAAUUAAGACAUCCGGGAUAAAUGACUAAGCUGAGCUCAAUGAAGCCAAAACAUGUGCGUCCAGGCUUAAUUGGUUGCACAAAGACCAAGCCAGGAUGAGCAGACACGGAUUCAUUAAGCCGGGUGAAACCAAUCCUGGAUAGGUGCGCGCUCACGGCUCACUCAAAUAGACCCCGCCACAGAUCACAGAUUAACUGAUUUACCAUGGCAACUAGAGCCGCGUACUUUUCCCCGUCGGAAGCACAAAUCCUCAUGGAGGCAUACGAGGAGGUAAAAGAUAUAAUUAAGAAGAAAGGCAACACCCCCACAGUGAUAAAGCAAAGAGAAAAAGCGUGGCAAAGUAUUGCAGACCGCCUGAAUGCAUGGUCUGCAAUGCUGACUGUGUGAUCAGCAAUGUUGUGGCAAAAUGGCCUGGCUCAGUCCAUGACUCCAGAAUCUUUCGGGCCUCUGAAAUCUAUCAGUGCCUAUCACAAGGUGAAUUCUCUGGUGUGUUGCUGGGAGACAGGGGUAUGGCUGCCAGCCUUUUCUCCUGACACCUUUCACAGACCCCCAGGAAGCACAGCAGGCCUACAACCAUGCCCAUGCCAGGACCAGGGCCAGAGUUGAAAUGACCUUUGGCCUCCUGAAGGCACGCUUUCACUGCCUUCACAAAUUAAGGGUCAGCCCUGUUAGGGCAUGUGAUAUUACUGUGGCUUGUGCUGUCCUCCACAAUGUGGCCUGCCUGAGGAAGGAGAGGGCCCCCAGAGUGCCACCAGCCAUGGACUGGGACAAUCCGGCAAUCUUCCCUGAUGACGACAGUGGUCGGCUGCUGAGGGACCAAUAUGUGUUGACUUAUUUUAGUUAGUAUGUGUGCUUUCAAUUUUGGUUAAAUAUGUCCUGCGGUGGCAGAGGAAUUUGGGUUUUUUUGGGUUCGUUUUUUUACGAAUUUGGCCUCUUAUGAUGUUUGUGCGGUAUACUGUGUGUAAUACAAGGCUGCAGGGAGGCUACUGCAUCCAUUCAUUUGUCUGUUCAGUUGAUGUGUAUGGAUUUGUCCUGCAUUUAUUUUAGUGUGCAGACAUGCAGGGUGUGUUAUAUACAGACCUUUGAAUGUGUAUGUAUCAUUUUGUAUAAUAUGCUUGGAUUCUGUGCUUUCCAUCUUGUAGAGUCACUGUGACUUCAGUUUCGAAAGGAGCUGAUGGUUUACCUGCUUU